rnacentral:rRNA from 1 species
AAACAUGUCCUAUUGAAGUUUUAAUAGGUCUGGCCUGCCCACUGAGAAUUUAAAGGGCCGCGGUAUCUUGACCGUGCGAAGGUAGCAUAAUCAUUAGUUUUUUAAUUGAAGGCUUGUAUGAAUGGUCGGACAAGAAAUAAGCUGUCUUUAUAAGAUUUAUUGAAUUUAACUUCUAAGUAAAAAGGCUUAGAUAAAUUAAGGGGACGAUAAGACCCUAUAAAGCUUUAUAGUUUCUUGAUUUCUUUAAGAAUAAGUUGUAAAAGUUAAUUUAUUUGGGAAACUAUUAUGUUGGGGCGACAAGAGUAAAAUUUAUUACCUGCUUUUAUUUCGUAACAAAUAAUAUUUGUAAAGUUGAUGAUCCUAGUUAAAGAUUAUAAGUUUAAGUUACUUUAGGGAUAACAGCGUAAUUCUUUUUGAGAGUCCUUAUCGAGAAAAGAGUUUGCGACCUCGAUGUUGAAUUAAGUUGUCUUCUUAUGUGCAGCAGCUAAGAUAGAUGGUCUGUUCGACCUUUAAAAACUUACAUGAUUUGAGUUCAAACCGGCGUGAGCCA